UCGUGGCAAGGGCGUUGCGAGCUAGAGCCCUUCCAGACGAGUCGCUGAGCUAGAGGAUCACCAGUUUCAAGUAGUUGUAGUUUUUGAGUUCAUAUAUAUACUUUUGUUGUAUCUCGCUGCGCGAGCCUUUUAUACACCUGGAUUGGAUGUAUGUAUAGUGAAUUUUUAUUUUUAUACUCCUGUUCUUUUUCCUAGCAGCUCUAUACUACUGGUUGUAAUGUUGUUGUUUACAGGAUCAGUUACAGUUUCGCUUUGUAUACAGAGAAAAUUCCUAUAUAUAUGGCGGAUUUGUCGGCGUGUCCGGAGAAACGAGUAAUCCGGGACGUGAUAAUUAAUCCUUAUAUUAUAUUUAAAUUUAAAUCUUUAAAUUUUAAAUUUUAAAAUUUAAAUAUAUAUAAAUUUUAAAUUUUAAAAAUUUAAAUUUUAAAUUUAAAUUUUUAGAUCUCAAAUUUAAAAAUUCAAAGUUCUAAAUUUUAAAUUUUAAAUUUUAUAUUUAAGAUUAAAUCUAAAUUUAAAAAUCUAAAAUAUCAAAUUUUAAAUUCAAAAAUUUAGAAUUUAAAAUUAUAGAAUUUUAAUUUUAAAAUUACAAAUUAUAAAUUUUUUAAAAUUUUAAAAUUUAAAUUUAAAUUUUAAAAAAAUUAAAUAAGGGUGGGAAUGACUGUUACCACCCCUAUUCCCAUACAAAACGUGGGAUAACUAUCCUGCCCCCUUUUUUUAUAUUUGGAUAUAAGAGGGGAUAACCCUUUAUCCCCAUUUUAUCCCCCGACCAAACACCCUCAUAGAGUUCGACUACUAUACUAUCGAUAGUACCAAGUUUUUGGUAUUAUCAAGUUUUCUGCUGUUAGAUCUACCUUUUUUAUCGUUUCCAUCCGUUAGAUUAUACUAUUCAACCAACCAUCCACUCAACCUCAGGUGACCACUAUCAUCUUAACUGCACAUCCUUUCAUCCAACGGUUGAAAACUUGAUAGCACCAAGCGUUUGGUACUAUCGAUAAUAUAAUAGCACGAUUCUAAUUUCAUACAGCUCCGUACAUCGAAUAGCAAAUAUAUUUUUUAUAAAAUUUAACUUUUUAUAUUUUUAUUAGUUAUUUUUUAACCAAAAAUAAGUGAAAUGAUAUUUUUGCCAUCACAAAUAUGCCCCUCCAAAAGUCUAAACUAUUAAAAUUAUGCAGAUAUAUCAUCCCAAAAUGGUCAUCUUCUUUUCUUCUACCAUCACAAACAAUAUAAGAGGGGUAAAAAAAUCAAUUUACCUUAUUUACUAACUAGGAUUAAAUAUUUUGUCUAUGGUUAACUAUAUUUUUCUAACGGAUCCUAACAACAUGGAUAUAUUUGAAAAUGUUAGGACUUUUGUAAGGAUAAAUAUAAAAAGUUGAACUUUGUAAGGAGAUAUCUGUGUUCGAUAUGUUUAUAGAGAGCUGUAUACAAUUAAUCCUAUAAAGUAAGU
rnacentral:lncRNA from 1 species